CUUGGUCAUUUAGAGGAAGUAAAAGUCGUAACAAGGUUUCCGUAGGUGAACCUGCGGAAGGAUCAUUACAACAAUAAUUCAACAUUGUGUCAGAGCAAUAACAUCUAAAACCGAUCAUCAAUUAAUUAAUUCAAAACUUUCAACAACGGAUCUCUAGGUUCUCGCAUCGAUGAAGAACGCAGCGAAAUGCGAUACGUAGUACGAAACGCAAGUCGUGAAUCAUCGAAUCUUUGAACGCACAUUGCGCUGUGUGGCAUUCCACACAGCAUGCCUCUUUGAGCAAUAUUUCUCUCUCGCAAGGUGUUGGCCACCACGCCGGCAGGCGUCUGCCAGAAACGAAAUUGUCUAAAACAGUUAAGCUUGUUACAGACUCUUGAUCUUAUUCUCAAAUCAGGUAGGACUACCCGCUGAACUUUAGCAUAUCAAUAAGCGGAGGA
rnacentral:rRNA from 1 species